GACGAACGCUGGCGGCGUGCCUAAUACAUGCAAGUAGAACGCACAGUUUAUACCGUAGCUUGCUCCACCAUAGACUGUGAGUUGCGAACGGGUGAGUGACGCGUAGGUAACCUGCCUGGUAGCGGGGGAUAACUAUUGGAAACGAUAGCUAAUACCGCAUAAUAUUAAUUAUUGCAUGAUAAUUAAUUGAAAGGUGCAAUUGCACCACUACCAGAUGGACCUGCGUUGUAUUAGCUAGUAGGUGAGGUAACGGCUCACCUAGGCGACGAUACAUAGCCGACCUGAGAGGGUGAUAGGCCAAACUGGGACGGAGACACGGCCCGGACUCCUACGAGAGGCAGCAGUAGGGAAUCUUCGGCAAUGGAAGAAAGGCUGACCGAGCAACGCCGCGGGAGUGCAGAAGGUUUUCGGAUCGUAAAGCUCAGUUGUAAGAGAAGAACGGGGGUGAGAGUGGAAAGUUCACACUGUGACGGUAUCUGACCAGAAAGGGACGGCUAACUACGUG
rnacentral:rRNA from 1 species